GCCCGCAUAGCUCAGGGGUAGAGCAACCGCCUUGUAAGCGGUAGGUCGUCUGUUCAAAUCAGACUGUGGGCACCA
rnacentral:tRNA from 1 species